rnacentral:rRNA from 1 species
GAUGAACGCUGGCGGUAUGCUUAACACAUGCAAGUCGAACGGACUCUUCGGAGUUAGUGGCGGACGGGUGGGUAACGCGUGAGAAUCUGGCUUUGGGUUCGGGACAACCACUGGAAACGGUGGCUAAUACCGGAUGUGCCGAGAGGUAAAAGAGAAAUUGCCUGAAGAUGAGCUCGCGUCUGAUUAGCUAGUUGGUGAGGUAAAGGCUCACCAAGGCAGCGAUCAGUAGCUGGUCUGAGAGGAUGACCAGCCACACUGGGUCUGAGACACGGCCCAGACUCCUACGGGAGGCAGGAGGGGAGAAUUGUCCGCAAUGGGCGAGCGCCUGACGGAGAAAUACCGCGUGAGAGAAGAAGGCUCUUGUGGUGUAAACCUCUUUUCUGAGGGAAGAACAGAAUGACGGUACCUAAUGAAUCAGCAUCGGCUAACUCCGUG